AGUGAACGCUGGCGGUAGGCCUAACACAUGCAAGUCGAACGGCAGCACAGUAAGAGCUUGCUCUUACGGGUGGCGAGUGGCGGACGGGUGAGGAAUACAUCGGAAUCUACUUUUUCGUGGGGGAUAACGUAGGGAAACUUACGCUAAUACCGCAUACGACCUACGGGUGAAAGCAGGGGAUCUUCGGACCUUGCGCGAUUGAAUGAGCCGAUGUCGGAUUAGCUAGUUGGCGGGGUAAAGGCCCACCAAGGCGACGAUCCGUAGCUGGUCUGAGAGGAUGAUCAGCCCCACUGGAUCUGAGACACGGUCCAGACUCCUACGGGAAGCAGCAGUGGGGAAUAUUAGACAAUGGGGGCAAGCCUGAUCCAGCCAUACCGCGUGGGUGAAGAAGGCCUUCGGGUUGUAAAGCCCUUUUGUUGGGAAAGAAAAGCAGCAGGUUAAUACCCCGCUGCUCUGACGGUACCCAAAGAAUAAGCACCGGCUAACUUCGUG
rnacentral:rRNA from 1 species